rnacentral:rRNA from 1 species
CCUACGGGAGGCAGCAGUGGGGAAUAUUGGACAAUGGGCGAAAGCCUGAUCCAGCAAUGCCGCGUGAGUGAUGAAGGCCUUCGGGUCGUAAAGCUCUUUUACCAGGGAUGAUAAUGACAGUACCUGGAGAAUAAGCUCCGGCUAACUCCGUGCCAGCAGCCGCGGUAAUACGGAGGGAGCUAGCGUUGUUCGGAAUUACUGGGCGUAAAGAGUACGUAGGCGGUUAUUCAAGUCAGAGGUGAAAGCCCGGGGCUCAACCCCGGAACUGCCUUUGAAACUAGAUAACUAGAGUCUUGGAGAGGUUAGUGGAAUUCCGAGUGUAGAGGUGAAAUUCGUAGAUAUUCGGAAGAACACCAGUGGCGAAGGCGACUAACUGGACAAGUACUGACGCUGAGGUACGAAAGCGUGGGGAGCAAACAGGAUUAGAUACCCUGGUAGUCCACGCCGUAAACGAUGAUAACUAGUUGUUCGGUCACUUGGUGACUGAGUGACGCAGCUAACGCAUUAAGUUAUCCGCCUGGGGAGUACGGUCGCAAGAUUAAAACUCAAAUGAAUUGACGGNUGAGAGUUGCGAGACGACACGAGGAGAG